UACGAGGGGGGCAAGCGUUGUUCGGAAUUAUUGGGCGUAAAGAGCGCGUAGGCGGUUUGACAAGUCUGAUGUGAAAUCCCCGGGCUUAACCUGGGAACUGCGUUUGAAACUACAAGGCUAGAGUGUGGCAGAGGGGGGUGGAAUUCCACGUGUAGCAGUGAAAUGCGUAGAGAUGUGGAGGAACACCGAUGGCGAAGGCAAUCCCCUGGGCCUGCACUGACGCUCAUGCACGAAAGCGUGGGGAGCAAACAGG
rnacentral:rRNA from 1 species